UGGGAAGACCUACGGAAGCCGGGCGGCUCGGGGCGGGGGUUGCUGGCUGUUACCGGGGCAACUAGAAGCGAUUGGCGGUUUUCCGCAGUUUGAAGCGGUUAAGCGGCAGAGGCUGAGAUGCUCGGAGGUCUUUGGGGUGAGCGAAAAGGGCCUGAGGGCCUAAGAGAAGACUGUCCUAUCAGGAGGUUAUCCGGUCGUGCCCGCGGCGGGAACACCUGUCCUGGGUCGCGCCCACCCGGCUCUUGCGCGUUGCCCUGGAAGCCUGGAGGAUCUUAAUGUAAGUCUGUAGUGAAUUGAAGAGACAGAGAUGAAAUGGACGCAGCACAUGAAGACAAUUCUUUCAAGAAGUUUGACAGAAAGGAACAGAGAAAGGUGCUAAAGGCCAGGUGAACUUGGAGCUGAUAGGCUACCUUUGCCACCACGUGGAGGCUUGUUUAAAAUUAAAGCUAAAAAAGCCAACAUGGAAGAUAGAAACCAAAUCCUGAUGAUAUUGUUUGAGCCCAGCGAUCCAGACAUGCCUCAAGACUAGUUUUACCACUGGACUUUUCAGUUAAAUGAGCCAAUAAACUUUCUUUUGUGCUUAAA